rnacentral:rRNA from 1 species
UGGGGAAUAUUGGGCAAUGGGCGAAAGCCUGACCCAGCAACGCCGCGUGAGGGAAGAAGGCCUUCGGGUUGUAAACCUCUGUCUUUGGUGACGAAACAAAUGACGGUAGCCAAAGAGGAAGCCCCGGCUAACUACGUGCCAGCAGCCGCGGUAAUACGUAGGGGGCGAGCGUUGUCCGGAAUUACUGGGCGUAAAGGGUGCGUAGGUGGCCUUUUAAGUUGGAUGUGAAAUCCCCGGGCUUAACUUGGGUGGUGCAUCUAAUACUGGAGGGCUAGAGUGCAGGAGAGGGAAGCGGAAUUCCUAGUGUAGCGGUGAAAUGCGUAGAUAUUAGGAGGAACACCAGUGGCGAAGGCGGCUUUCUGGACUGUAACUGACACUGAGGCACGAAAGCGUGGGGAGCAAACA